UAAAUAUCAAUAAUAAUAAUAACAAUAAUGAUAAUUAAUUGGUAGGUAAAUAACAAUAAUAUUAAAUUACUCAAUUAAUAUUAAUCAACUAUAAUAAAGAAAAUCAAGUAACGAUAAUAUUUGGCAAAAAAAAACUACAAUAAUAAUUAAUUUGAUUUCAGAAUAUUGAUUUCAUUUUGAAAUGAUAAGAUUGCAACAACAAUAAAACAACAGUAAUAUUUUUUAGUAGUAUAAAUAAAGUUUAGUACGAAAUUACUUAUAGGAACAUGAAAGUAGAUGUAUUAUGGAUUGUAAUUAGGGUAAUUAAGUAAUUAUGGUGAUAAUUAACUUUUAUAUAUUAAAAGUAGAUUCACUUAUCUCAGAUCCAACCUAAAGUCCAAAUCUUUUCUAGUAUAUCUCACAUCUUCUCACAUCUUCUCUUUUCUAUUAUGUUAUUUUUUUUAUUUUUUAUGCUACUGUUCUCUCUUUCUAUUACAUUUUUAUCAUAUAUUUCUUCUCUAACCUUUUUAUCUUUUUC
rnacentral:lncRNA from 1 species